rnacentral:rRNA from 1 species
AGGACGAACGCUGGCGGCGUGCUUAACACAUGCAAGUCGAGCGGUGAUCCUCCUUCGGGAGGUGAGCAGCGGCGAACGGGUGAGUAACACGUGGGCAACCUGCCCCUCACACUGGGAUAACCUCGGGAAACCGGGGCUAAUACCGGAUAUGACCUCGAGCGGCAUCUCUUGAGGUGGAAAGCUCCGACGGUGAGGGAUGGGCCCGCGGCCUAUCAGCUUGUUGGUGGGGUAAUGGCCUACCAAGGCGACGACGGGUAGCCGGCCUGAGAGGGCGACCGGCCACACUGGGACUGAGACACGGCCCAGACUCCUACGGGAGGCAGCAGUGGGGAAUAUUGCGCAAUGGGCGAAAGCCUGACGCAGCGACGCCGCGUGAGGGAUGAAGGCCUUCGGGUUGUAAACCUCUUUCAGCAGGGACGAAGCGAAGUGACGGUACCUGCAGAAGAAGCACCGGCUAACUACGCGCCAGCAGCCGCGGUAA